GGUCCGAGCGAUUUGAAUGCGGGAGCUCACAGUGGUUUAAAUUGAUGCGCGGUUCGAGCAAGGACAAGCGAGCAGACACCUGGGUCUUCACAACGCGGCGUGGUUUAAAUGAGCGCAAACGGACCUGUGGCACGGUGCAAUAGAACCAAGAAGGUCUGAUACGCAGACAUGGAAAUAACGCGAGACGUCGCGUGAUACACAAAGUAGAGAUCG
rnacentral:lncRNA from 1 species